AAUUUUACUUCAUGUCAGAUUUACUUUAAAUGCUUUGGUUUUUGAGUUAUAUGUCAAAAACUGAAUUUUACCCCUAUGUUCUAUUUUUAGCCAUGGCGGCCAUCUUGGUUGUUUGGCCGGGUCACGCCACACAUUUUUUAAACUAGAUAUCCCAAUGAUGAUUGUGGCCAAGUUUAGUUUAAUUUGGCCCAGUAGUUUCAGAGGAGAAGAUUUUUGUAAAAGAUUACUAAGAUUUACAAAAAAUGGUUAAAAAUUGACUAUAAAGGGCAAUAACU
rnacentral:lncRNA from 1 species